AUGCGAUCUAAUCUUGUUAUGUUUACGAAAUAUGAUGCUGAUGGAGCGCUUGUCAAUCACUUUUGGUAGUAGGAGGCGACAUUCAUUGGUUAGGAAGCGACAGCUGAAUACGGACCAAGGGAGAUAUCGUUAUUUAUGCUACAAGUGUCCCCGGAACUCUCCAUCGUGUGCACAAAAAAAUGUAUGGCAACCGAUUUUAAUCCAAACUAAUAAUAAAACUUCGUCACGAAUAUUUUUCAGUAAUACUUUGUCGGUAUUCAAAGAGUAGUAAGUGUAAACCCACAUUCCAACGAAAUGUGUCUAAUUUGUUUACAUCGUAAGGAUCCAAGUUGAGGACAUGUUUAAAUGUCUGCGUUUCCCACCGCCGAUAUAACUGGUGUAUUUAACCCCAAGGAACUUGAUAAUAUUUAUGCUUGACGGACUAUUCAACCAAAAUUUCCGAAAAAUUUGCGUAACUGUCGGCAGGUGCUGGUAACUCGGGUAUACAAUACACGAAUGGUGCGAAAUACGCGUAAGAUAGAAGGUUAAAGGUGUCAGCGUUGUAACACGCAACACUGUCCGAGCAGCCAACUAUUCCUAGGCAACGAAUGAAGUCACCAUGCCGCGACAACUUGACAUGUUGGUACAGAGGCCACACGAUGAUCAUACGAGCAUUAACAAAUAGCGGACCACACACAGGGUAUCUACCGUCCACUCCACCACUACAUGUGUAGCUCUGAAGGGAAGUUCAUCAUGGGCAGGUGGUCACGAAUCAUGGCCGCCCCUGUCCGCUAUGUCAGUUUCUCUCGCAUCAAGCAAUUAAGGCGCAUGGGAAGGUAGACGAGCAUUAGCCAUUUCGUCUGGAAAACGAAUAUUGCAGGAUAUAUGUAUGUAUAAUACUUGUAUCUUUCAAAAGUGAAAUUGAUGUAGAGCAAAUACGCAUGCGAAGGAAAAUGUGAACAAUAGA